GGCGGCGUAGCUUAGUUGGCUAUAGCAUUCGGUUCAUACCCGAAAGGUCGUAGGUUCGAGUCCCACCGCCGCUACCA
rnacentral:tRNA from 2 species